rnacentral:rRNA from 1 species
UACGGAAGGGGCUAGCGUUGUUCGGAAUUACUGGGCGUAAAGAGCGCGUAGGCGGCUUACCAAGUUGGGGGUGAAAUCCCGGAGCUCAACUCCGGAACUGCCUUAGAAACUGGUAGGCUCGAGUCCGGAAGAGGGGCGUGGAAUUCCCAGUGUAGAGGUGAAAUUCGUAGAUAUUGGGAAGAACACCGGUGGCGAAGGCGGCUGACUGGUCAGGUACUGACGCUGAGGUGCGAAAGCGUGGGGAGCAAACAGG